UUUACCUGUUUCUCAGAUUUAUUUACCUAAGAAUUGUUUUCUGUUUCAGAACUCAUUAUUUUAAUAAGGUUUGUUAUAGGAAACAGCUCUUUUGGUGAAUGACUGCCUAGGAGGAUGCUCUCUGAGGAGGAGUACUGCAAGGUGCUGGGUGGCAAUGGCCAGCCAUACAUCCUUUGUCAACGCCUGGGCAUGUUUCCUGGCAUCGAAGAGGAGCUGCUUUCCGGGGCGACUAUUUCGGUUCGAUGCCCGUCGGAGGAGAAAAGCGCCACAGAGUGGCUUAGACUCUUCGAGAAGGAGACUGGCACUACCUUCAGUGUCAUGGCCACGGAUGGUGAAAAGAGCAAAAAUGCUUGGGUUCUACACCAGAAACGCGUGCGGUGCCAGCACUAUGGCCGCACCAAGGAGGGCGCAAGAGGAAGGUCGCCACGAGAUACCGGUUGCUCCGUCAUCCUGAGACUGAAAGUCCGGAGAGUGGUUCUG